AAUAAUAAUAAUGACAUUAAUAAAAAUAAUAAAAAUAAUAAAAAUAGUAGUAAUAGUAAUAACAACAAUAAUAAUAUAAACGAGUUAAAUAACACUAUGCAUUGUGGAAAUACAUAUGUUUUCGAUUCGGAUAUAAAUAAUAAUAACACUUGUGUUUAUCCGUAUAAUACUUAUAUACUUGGAUAUAAUGCAAAUUACAACUUACCAAAUGAGUAUACUGGCAAUAUUACUCCUAUCACUGCUAAUGAUUUAAAAAAAGUAAAAAAUGAAUUUUGUAUAAAUUAUACACAUAGUAAUAAUGACAACAAUAAAAUAUAUAACGUUGCUAAUAAAAAUGGUAAUACAGAUAUAAAUACAAAUAAUAUUCCUAUGUAUGAAAAUAUAUAUAAAGAAAAUAUAAAUGAAAAAGAUAUGUCCAUAAAUAGUAAGGGUACCAGUACAACUGUUAUGACUACAACUGCAAGUACUAAUAGUGAAAAUAAUAGUAAUAGUAUAUACAACAAUGACAACGCAUAUAACAGUCCCACUAACUGUAACAUUGUCACUAACAGUAACAAUGAUUAUAACUAUGAAAAAGGGAAUCUUAAAAAUAACAAAAUACACAACGAAUUAAGCACCUCCUUGAGUAAAACAGUUAGAAAAAAAAAAAGAGUAAAUACUAUCAAUAUUACUACCGAUAUUGAAAAUAAUAUAACUACUAAUUUUAAUGAAACCAUAAGUAUUAAUAAUUCUAAUGAAAAUACUACAAAUCCUGAAAUAAAUACUACUGAAUUGUAUGAACAAGCUAAACAUUUACCUAAAGUGAUUGGUGUAAGUUAUGACAGAAAACAAAACUUAUGGGUAUCACACUGGAGAGAUAAUUAUAAAACAUUACAUAAAUAUUUUUCAGUUAAAAAACAUGGUUUUCAUGGUGCUAGAUUAUUAGCUAUUGAUUGUAGAAGGCAAAUGAUAAGGAAUAGUGCAUCAGCCAAAUUUUUAAAAUAUCAUUUAUAUAAUAGUAUUAAUAAAAAUACUAUAUUAUAUGAUCACAUAUGUACCAAUAUAAACAACUAUAAAAACGUUUACAACAAUAAAAAAACUGAUAAUAAUAAUAAUAAUAAUAAUAUGAACAACAAUAAAACAGAUACUGUUCUUUUAAAAAAUGAUAGUAUUAAUAAUAGUGAACAAAUGGAGUUAUACGAAAAACAUAAUAAUUUAAAUAAAAUGAAAACAAUGCCAGCUAAUAAAAUUAAUCAUCAAUAUAUAAGAAAAAAAAAAAAAAGAAAAGAAAAUACUACUAUUUUGAAUAAUCAAAGUGUGUGGGAAAAUAAUCACAGUCCAUAUGAACAUAAUCACAGUCCAUAUGAACAUAAUCACAGUCCAUAUGAAAAUAAUCACAGUUCCUAUGAAAAUAAUCACAGUUCCUAUGAAAAUAAUCAAAGUCCAUAUGAAAUUAACCAAAGUCCAUGUCAGACAUAUUUUGACCAAAACAAUAUAAACUCAAAUAAUUUAAUCCAAGGGAAAUAUGUGCCUAGCCCUAUAAUGUAUAUAAAUAAACAAGAUAUACAAAUGGAUAGAGGCGUUCCUAAUAUACCAACUAAUAUGGAUAAUAAACAAAAACAUCUUAAUGAAACUUAUAAAAAUAAAAAAAAAACUCAACUUUUACCAUAUUCAAAUAAAAAAGAUGAAAUAUGUGACGCAAGUGGUAGUGGUAAAAAUAGUUGUAAUAAUAAAACUUGUUUUGGGGAAGAAACAAAUUUGUUAUUAUAUAACUCUGUAGGAGAAAACCACAAUAAUAUUCCUAUUAGUACUAACAAUGGUAGUGCUAAUGACAGUAAUAACAACAACAACAACAACAANNNNNNNNNNAAAUGGGAACGGAAAUGGGAACGGAAAUGGGAACGGAAAUGGGAACGAAAAUGGAAAUAAAAAUAGCAUUGAAAGUAGUAAUGGAAACAGCAAUGUAAGUAACGAUAAAGGAGAAAUUUUAGUAAAAACUGAAAUAGAACCAUCUUAUUUCAAAAACAAAAGUUGCUCGAAUAACACAUUAUAUAAUAAAUUAUUAAACACUGAAAUUUAUGAUAAAUUA
rnacentral:lncRNA from 1 species